GACGAACGCUGGCGGCAUGCCUAACACAUGCAAGUCUAGGGGUAGCAAUACCACUGGCGCACGGGUGAGUAACACGUAGGUUAUCUGCCCCCAUCACAGACAUAACCCCGGGAAACCGGGGCUAAUAUCUGAUGAGGUCGCGAGAUCAAAGCUUCGGCGGAUGGGGAUGAGCCUGCGGCUGAUUAGCUAGUUGGUGAGGUAAUGGCUCACCAAGGCGACGAUCAGUAGCUGGUCUGAGAGGACGAACAGCCACACUGGAACUGAGACACGGUCCAGACUCCUACGGGAGGCAGCAGUGAGGAGUAUUGGUCAAUGGGAGCAAUCCUGAACCAGCAAUGCCGCGUGUGGGAUGACAGGGCUUCGCCUUGUAAACCACUGUCGGACGGGACGAAAGGAGGCCUCGGGCCUCUGGGACGGUACCGUCAAAGGAAGGGUCGGCUAACUACGUGCCAGCAGCCGCGGUAAU
rnacentral:rRNA from 1 species